UGGGGAAUUUUGGACAAUGGGCGAAAGCCUGAUCCAGCAAUGCCGCGUGUGUGAAGAAGGCCUUCGGGUUGUAAAGCACUUUUGUCCGGAAAGAAAUCCUUGGCUCUAAUACAGUCGGGGGAUGACGGUACCGGAAGAAUAAGCACCGGCUAACUACGUGCCAGCAGCCGCGGUAAUACGUAGGGUGCAAGCGUUAAUCGGAAUUACUGGGCGUAAAGCGUGCGCAGGCGGUUUGCUAAGACCGAUGUGAAAUCCCCGGGCUCAACCUGGGAACUGCAUUGGUGACUGGCAGGCUAGAGUAUGGCAGAGGGGGGUAGAAUUCCACGUGUAGCAGUGAAAAUGCGUAGAGAUGUGGAGGAAUACCGAUGGCGAAGGCAGCCCCCUGGGCCAAUACUGACGCUCAUGCACGAAAGCGUGGGGGAGCAAACAGGAUUAGAUACCCUGGUAGUCCACGCCCUAAAACGAUGUCAACUAGUUGUUGGGGAUUCAUUUCCUUAGUAACGUAGCUAACGCGUGAAGUUGACCGCCUGGGGGAGUACGGUCGCAAGAUUAAAACUCAAAUGAAUUGACGGGGUCAUAGCUGUUUCCU
rnacentral:rRNA from 1 species